GAUGAAGAACGCAGCGAAAUGCGAUAAGUAAUGUGAAUUGCAGAAUUCAGUGAAUCAUCGAAUCUUUGAACGCACAUUGCGCCCCCUGGUAUUCCGGGGGGCAUGCCUGUCCGAGCGUCAUUACAACCCUCAAGCUCAGCUUGGUAUUGGGCCCCGCCGCUCGGCGGGCCCUAAAGUCAGUGGCGGUGCCGUCCGGCUCCGAGCGUAGUAAUUCUUCUCGCUCUGGAGGUCCGGUCGUGUGCUCGCCAGCAACCCCCAAUUUUUUUCAGGUUGACCUCGGAUCAGGUAGGGAUACCCGCUGAACUUAAGCAUAUCAAUAAGCGGAGGA
rnacentral:misc_RNA from 1 species